GCCCCCGUCGUCUAACGGCUAGGACGCGGCCCUUUCAAGGCCGAAACACGAGUUCGAUUCUCGUCGGGGGCACCA
rnacentral:tRNA from 1 species